CUCACACAAAUGCACACGGCGUGCCAAGGCACAGAUGGCAGGGAUCCAGCAGCGCUGUGGAGCGCACAGAGGAGGAAAAAUAAGGCUGCAGCAGUCGGGAGGAGACGGGAAUGGAGGGGAGGAUUAUGAGAGGUUGAGACAAUAAGAUAAACCUUGAUGGAUAUGUAAACAACUCCGCUCUACAAUUAUCCGGAGGCGGGAUGAUAGGCUGAUCAGUCCUGAGGUUUUUGCAGACGUAUUAUUAAAACAAUAACUUGGCUUUUGUAAUAUCCGCAGUUCACAUCGUGCCGGUAUCGCUGGGCUUUUAAGGAGCCAUUUGGAGAGGUUAGCAACAGCGCCGUGCGAGGUGUGAGCCAGAGAUGCUUCCGUAAUGUGCCAGUCAUCAUGUCAUUAACGCGAGUUGGAGGCCGAAUCUGCGGUUUAGCGUGACAAGACGCACUCAGCUUCUACUGCUUGUGUCAUACUGUAACCUGCUAGAGACGUGCCGAGCGAUAGAUGUUUGAAAACACCGACUGGAAUGUGAAAAGGGUGGAAGCAGACGAGAGAGCGAGAGAGUUCCAAGUGUCUGCUCUCUCACACGAGGCGCUUUCAUAGCCGUAAACACUGGUAAGUCACACUUUGAUUAGAUAUUGAAAAGAAAAUCCUUGAACUUAACUGCACUCCACUGUGUCAGACUCCGUGUGGCACCACUGACGCUUCUAUGGGCUCAAUCAGGCUGCCGGGGCGGCUGAUGGAAAGUGACGUAUCCGCUUAUUCAGGUGGGAAAGUGUCACAUUUUCUUACACGUUCUUGUUUUCUUGCAUUACACGACUGAGACACUUUAAAAAUGUCUAUAUGAUUGUAGAUUUGAAUGUAUAUUUUCAGUAUAUUUUUUGUAACUACACUACCUCAUUCCUACACUACUAAGACUGUGUUAUUUUUAUCUUAUUCUGUUUAUUUAUUCUUAUGUCUAUGUCUGGUCACAUUUAUGUUUCUCUGUUAUCUCGAGGCUCUUGGACAAAACAAUUUCCCUGCGGGGAUCAAUGAAGCGAUCUUGAAUCCUGAAUUGCAGCCGGAGUGGAUGGCUGUGCUGCGGAGACACGUAUCUGUUGCUCAGUGUUAUCGUGAAUAAGUGCGGCAGCCGUUCCGCCUCCCACUUAUCCUCUUCCGUGGAAACAUGCAGCCACUGUUGCUGUGUGAAGCAACUCAGUGAAACUACUGUAUGGUACGAAGGGAUUCGGAAUUUCACGGCAAGCGAGGAAGCAAGCAAGCACGCGUGCGUGCGUCAGUGAUAGCGAGAGCGCGCAAACGAGAGCGCGCCGCCUUUUUGUGCACGAGGAAGCUCGCAGUGGUCUCGCCUCACUCCCCAAACUGCCUUUCGCCUCCUGCUUCCUGCUUAAUAUCCCUCCCUCCCUCCUCACCGGUGGUGAUGACGCCCUCCAGCCGGA